rnacentral:rRNA from 1 species
GUGAGUAAUGCAUCGGGAUCUACCCUGACGUGGGGGAUAACCUCGGGAAACCGGGACUAAUACCGCAUACGUCCUACGGGAGAAAGCGGGGGACCUUCGGGCCUCGCGCGGCAGGACGAACCGAUGUGCGAUUAGCUAGUUGGCGGGGUAAUGGCCCACCAAGGCGACGAUCGCUAGCUGGUCUGAGAGGAUGAUCAGCCACACUGGGACUGAGACACGGCCCAGACUCCUACGGGAGGCAGCAGUGGGGAAUAUUGGACAAUGGGCGCAAGCCUGAUCCAGCAAUGCCGCGUGUGUGAAGAAGGCCUUCGGGUUGUAAAGCACUUUUAUCAGGAGCGAAAUACCACGGGUUAAUACCCUAUGGGGCUGACGGUACCUGAGGAAUAAGCACCGGCUAACUUCGUGCCAGCAGCCGCGGUAAUACGAAGGGUGCAAGCGUUAAUCGGANUUACUGGGCGUAAAGGGUGCGUAGGCGGUUACUUAAGUCUGUCGUGAAAUCCCCGGGCUCAACCUGGGAAUGGCGAUGGAUACUGGGUGGCUAGAGUGUGUCAGAGGAUGGUGGAAUUCCCGGUGUAGCGGUGAAAUGCGUAGAGAUCGGGAGGAACAUC